rnacentral:rRNA from 1 species
GACAGAGGUGGCAAGCGUUGUUCGGAUUUAUUGGGCGUAAAGCGAACGCAGGCGGUUUGGUAAGUCAGAGGUGAAAGACCACAGCUUAACUGUGGUAUUGCCUUUGAUACUGCCUUUCUUGAGUGGAGUAGGGGGAAGCGGAAUUCCGAGUGUAGAGGUGAAAUUCGUAGAUAUUCGGAGGAACACCGGUGGCGAAGGCGGCUUCCUGGACUCUAACUGACGCUCAUGUUCGAAAGCGUGGGUAGCAAACAGG